UGGGGAAUAUUGCACAAUGGAGGGAACUCUGAUGCAGCGACGCCGCGUGAGUGAUGAAGGAAUUCGUUUCGUAAAACUCUGUUCUAUGGGAAGAAAAGGACUGUACCAUAGGAGAAAGCUCCGGCUAAAUACGUGCCAGCAGCCGCGGUAAUACGUAUGGAGCGAGCGUUGUCCGGAAUUAUUGGGCGUAAAGGGUGCGCAGGCGGCUUUACAAGUUGGAUGUGAAAUAUUGCGGCUCAACCACAAACGUGCAUCCAAAACUGCAAAGCUUGAGUUAAGGAGAGGUAAGUGGAAUUCCUGGUGUAGCCGUGGAAUGCGUAGAUAUCAGGAGAAAUACCGGUGGCGAAGGCGACUUACUGGACUUAAACUGACGCUCAGGCACGAAAACGUGGGGAGCAAACAGG
rnacentral:rRNA from 1 species